GAGUUUGAUCGUGGCUCAGAACGAACGCUGGCGGCAGGCUUAACACAUGCAAGUCGAACGAUGUAGCAAUACAUAGUGGCGCACGGGUGAGUAACGCGUGGGAACGUGCCUUUUAGUUUGGGAUAACACCGGGAAACUGGUGCUAAUACCGAAUACGCCCUCAGGGGGAAAGAUUUAUCGCUAAAAGAUCGGCCCGCGUUAGAUUAGCUAGUUGGUGGGGUAAUGGCCUACCAAGGCGACGAUCCAUAGCUGGUCUGAGAGGAUGAUCAGCCACACUGGGACUGAGACACGGCCCAGACUCCUACGGGAGGCAGCAGUGGGGAAUAUUGGACAAUGGGCGAAAGCCUGAUCCAGCCAUGCCGCGUGAGUGAUGAAGGCCUUAGGGUUGUAAGCUCUUUCAGUGGGAAGAUAAUGACGGUACCACAGAAGAAGCCCCGGCUAACUUCGUGCCAGCAGCCGCAGUAA
rnacentral:rRNA from 1 species